AUAAUACUUCAGCAUCCAAAGACAGCAGGUGGCAUUUUGCCGUAAGUUUUAUCGCCUGCCGAGGUUAGCGUGAAAGUAAAAUUUAUAUUUUAUGCUCAUGUCUGUCCGUUCUUUGGCGGACUUUUUUAUUUUU
rnacentral:sRNA from 1 species